AGUUUCUAGAAAUACGAUACAAAUGAGACAACAAUUUAAUUAUGUUUUAUUCAACUAAACAUUUAAUUCAACAAAAGAUAUACACAAAAUUGACAUAUACAAUUUGACCUCAUAACUGACUUUCUAUUUAUUAACAAUUGUUUUACACUCUACAAGAUUUAACAAUUGAACAAAUGUACCAGACACCUUCCUCUUCAGUUUUCUGCCUUAUAUCUCAUCAUAAUUUGCUUUAUUAGGACAUUAUAUCAUUGACGAUUACAUAAGAUCUCAUUUGUUCUUUUAUUAUUGUCAAAAGUUUACUUGUCCAGGACGAAAGACAUGUCAAAUUCAAAAUCUAUAUAGUUUGCAGAAAAA
rnacentral:lncRNA from 1 species